GUAGGUGGCGAGCGUUGUCCGGAAUUAUUGGGCGUAAAGCGCGCGCAGGCGGUUCUUUAAGUCUGAUGUGAAAGCCCACGGCUCAACCGUGGAGGGUCAUUGGAAACUGGAGAACUUGAGUACAGAAGAGGAAAGCGGAAUUCCACGUGUAGCGGUGAAAUGCGUAGAGAUGUGGAGAAACACCAGUGGCGAAGGCGGCUUUCUGGUCUGUAACUGACGCUGAGGCGCGAAAGCGUGGGGAGCAAACAGGAUUAGAUACCCUGGUAGUCCACGCCGUAAACGAUGAGUGCUAAGUGUUAGGGGGGUUUUCCGCCCCCCUUAGUGCUGCAGCUAACGCAUUAAGCACUCCGCCUGGGAGUACGGCCGCAAGGCUG
rnacentral:rRNA from 1 species